rnacentral:tRNA from 1 species
GGCCCAUUCGUCUAGCGGCCUAGGACGCCGCCCUCUCAAGGCGGAAACCACCGGUUCGAAUCCGGUAUGGGUCACCA